rnacentral:lncRNA from 1 species
UUCAAAUUGUAUUAAUUGUAAUAUCAGACGGAGGUAAAGUUACCGAAGGCCUUCCCACCGACCUCGGUAAUCUUACCGCUGCAGGGAUCGUACCUCGGUGCCGUCGCUGUCCUCGGAAGAAUGCUUCCACCACACGCCCUGCGCCAACCCACCACCGCCCAUGGUGGUACGCUUACCGGAGGUGACGACACUAGACCUUACGGUUGGCUGUAGGUGGCCGCACACACCCAC